GCCAGCCGCCGCGGGAACACCGGCGGCCCGAGUGGUGAUCGUGAUUAUUGGGUCUAAGGGUCCGUAGCCGGUUGGUCAGUCCUCCGGGAAAUCUGAUAGCUCAACUAUUAGGCUUUCGGGGGAUACUGCCAGACUUGGAACCGGGAGAGGUAAGAGGUACUACAGGGGUAGGAGUGAAAUCUUGUAAUCCCUGUGGGACCACCUGUGGCGAAGGCGUCUUACCAGAACGGGUUCGACGGUGAGGGACGAAAGCUGGGGGCACGAACCGGAUUAGAUACCCGGGUAGUCCCAGCCGUAAACGAUGCUCGCUAGGUGUCAGGCAUGGCGCGACCGUGUCUGGUGCCGCAGGGAAGCCGUGAAGCGAGCCACCUGGGAAGUACGGCCGCAAGGCUGAAACUUAAAGGAAUUGGCGGGGGAGCACAACAACGGGUGGAGCCCUGCGGUUUAAUUGGACUCAACGCCGGACAACUCACCGGGGGCGACAGCAAUAUGUAGGCCAAGCUGAAGACUUUGCCUGAAUCGCUGAGAGGUGGUGCAUGG
rnacentral:rRNA from 1 species